CCUACGGGUGGCUGCAGUGGGGAAUAUUGGACAAUGGGGGGAACCCUGAUCCAGCCAUGCCGCGUGUGUGAAGAAGGCCCUCGGGUUGUAAAGCACUUUCAGUGAGGAAGAACGCCUGGUGGUUAAUACCCAUCAGGAAAGACAUCACUCACAGAAGAAGCACCGGCUAACUCCGUGCCAGCAGCCGCGGUAAUACGGAGGGUGCGAGCGUUAAUCGGAAUUACUGGGCGUAAAGCGCGCGUAGGUGGCUUGAUAAGCCGGUUGUGAAAGCCCCGGGCUCAACCUGGGAACGGCAUCCGGAACUGUCAAGCUAGAGUGCAGGAGAGGAAGGUAGAAUUCCCGGUGUAGCGGUGAAAUGCGUAGAGAUUGGGAGGAAUACCAGUGGCGAAGGCGGCCUUCUGGACUGACACUGACACUGAGGUGCGAAAGCGUGGGUAGCAAACAGGAUUAGAUACCCUUGUAGUC
rnacentral:rRNA from 1 species